GGCAGUGGGUGCCCGGCUUCCGCACGAUGUGAGGAAAGUCCCCCCACCGUCCGGGCAGGUGACCGGGUGCAAACCCGGGACGGGAGACCGUCGGCUCUGGAACAGAAACGAGACCCCUCCACCGGACCGAUGAGGUGUGCGACGCUUGAGGUAACGAGAGCACGUUAACCCACCGAGGACCGAUGGUGGAGAACGGAUGGAACGGCGAACCCUCACCGGUGCAAGCCCGCGACAGAAUGGUAGCCCGGACACACACCGCGGGCGCUCAGCCGAAUGCUGGAUAGAACAGAAGGGGGCUUACGGCUCACAGCC
rnacentral:RNase_P_RNA from 1 species